rnacentral:lncRNA from 1 species
AUGGGUCCCGGUGUGGGUCCUGGCUAUGGAUCCCAGCUAUAGGUCCCAGCUGUGGGUCCCGGCUAUGGGUCGCGGUGUGGGUCCGGCACGCACCGGCGGUUGGCAGCUGCCCGUUGUCGGCCAUGUCCCAGCGCUCCUCCUUGCGCCGCGCGCCGCUGACGAUGACGUAGUCGCAGCCGGCGGGGUCGGUCUGCAGCUCGAUGUGGUUGACGCACAGGUGGCACUUCAUG